AUUGAACGCUGGCGGCAGGCCUAACACAUGCAAGUCGAGCGGGGUUUUCGGACCUAGCGGCGGACGGGUGAGUAAUGCGUAGGAAGCUACCCGAUAGAGGGGGAUACCAGUUGGAAACGACUGUUAAUACCGCAUAAUGUCUACGGACCAAAGUGUGGGACCUUCGGGCCACAUGCUAUCGGAUGCGCCUACGUGGGAUUAGCUAGUUGGUGGGGUAAUGGCUCACCAAGGCGACGAUCCCUAGCUGGUUUGAGAGGAUGAUCAGCCACACUGGAACUGAGACACGGUCCAGACUCCUGCGGGAGGCAGCAGUGGGGAAUAUUGGACAAUGGGCGCAAGCCUGAUCCAGCCAUGCCGCGUGUGUGAAGAAGGCCUUCGGGUUGUAAAGCACUUUCAGUAGGGAGGAAGGGUGUUGUGCUAAUAGCACAGCAUUUUGACGUUACCUACAGAAGAAGCACCGGCUAACUCUGUGCCAGCCGCCGCGGUAAAAC
rnacentral:rRNA from 1 species